ACUGGGAACGGCAAGGUAGAAGACCAAAUUGCUUACAUUUUUGUAUUCGAACCAAAGCAUAUAUUACUAUUCACUAAACUCUAUUUGCCUCUUAAAAAUACUUGUCUUAUACUCUUAAACAAACACUAUAGAAAUAGUGAAAUAAAACACCCGAACUUUGAACAUUUUAAUUGUUGGCGUGGUUACGAGCCGUGAAAUGAUGUUAAUAGUAACGUCGCGGUUUGAACUUACAGUAAGACCUACCAGAAUGCUCAAGGGAAUACAAUUUAUAGUCGCCUUGUUGAUGGGCGUGAUCACGCCUUCACUGACGUUGCCGCUGUAUUUGUCUAGCUCACUAUUAUUUGGUAACAGCUACAGUAUUAACAGAGCAAAAAGGUUAAGUGGAAAACGCGGACAUGCGGACACGCGGACAUGCGGACACGC